rnacentral:rRNA from 1 species
CCCUUAGAUGUCCGGGGCUGCACGCGCGCUACACUGAAGGAAUCAGCGUGCUAGAAAACCUUGUUUGACAUGGCUAGGUAACCCGUUGAAAAUCUUUCGUGAUUGGGAUCGGGACUUGCAAAUGUGUCCCUUGAACGAGGAAUUCCCAGUAAGUGCGGGUCAUAAGCUCGCGCUGAUUACGUCCCUGCCCUUUGUACACACCGCCCGUCGCUGCCCGGAACUGAGCCGUUUCGAGAAGACUGGGGACUGCGAACUUUGGGCUGGAAAACAGCUUUUUGUUUGUGGAACCCACUUUAAUCGCAGCGGCUUGAACCGGGCAAAAGUCGUAACA